GACGAACGCUGGCGGCGUGCUUAACACAUGCAAGUCGAACGGAAAGGCCCUGCUUUUGUGGGGUGCUCGAGUGGCGAACGGGUGAGUAACACGUGAGUAACCUGCCCUUGACUUUGGGAUAACUUCAGGAAACUGGGCUAAUACCGGAUAGGAGCUCCUGCUGCAUGGUGGGGGUUGGAAAGUUUCGGCGGUUGGGGAUGGACUCGCGGCUUAUCAGCUUGUUGGUGGGGUAGUGGCUUACCAAGGCUUUGACGGGUAGCCGGCCUGAGAGGGUGACCGGCCACAUUGGGACUGAGAUACGGCCCAGACUCCUACGGGAGGCAGCAGUGGGGAAUAUUACACAAUGGGCGGAAGCCUGAUGCAGCAACGCCGCGUGCGGGAUGACGGCCUUCGGGUUGUAAACCGCUUUCGCCUGUGACGAUGCGUGAGUGACGGUAAUGGGUAAAGAAGCACCGGCUAACUACGUG
rnacentral:rRNA from 1 species